CACCGUCUUCUUCGAUUCUUCAAACUGUCGCCAUGUUCUUUGUUUAUGCAAUUUCAUUCCGAUUUCAUUCAAUGUUUUCUGCACUUUCUUUUGUUUUUCUCGGAGAUCGCCUUUUUUAUUAGAACUGCGGCAGUGAAUUGUAAUGACAUUUUUUGUUGGUGGCGUUGCUAUUCCAAAGUAUAUCAUGACCCUCACGGCUGUGACUGGAUGUGCUGGGUGUUUAUGCUAUUGCUACUCACAUGAAAUGAAUUCAAAGUAUGGUGUGAAACUUCCGGAUAGGUUGACGAGGCUUAUGACUGGAACUGGGACGUUGGUGGCUGGAUUCACAGUUUGUGACAUUUAUGGCAUAAAUAUGUGCCUUGAGAGGGUGAGAGACAUGGAUAAGAAGGAGUUUGCAAAGAUGAAAGCUGGGAAGUUUCCAAAGUGGUUUAUAGCAUCUAUCGCUGGACCAAUGAUUUUGGGGGCUGGUGCAGGCGCAAUGGCGACGGCAACGGGCUAUGAAAUGUACUCAUUUCAUAAGGACUUUAUGAAGAAUAGAGCCAUGGAGGGCUACUCUGCCAAUCCCUAUGUUUUGACACCGGUAAUCAUGGCCCCGAGAGAUAGCACAGACAAAAGAGAUUGGGAACGAGUAAAGUGAACCAGCAAGAUAUUUUGGAUUUUGAGAUUAGAGGACGUCAUAGGUCACUAGCCCGCCUUUAGUGUUUGGAAAAUCGGGAUUGAAAAGAAGACGAGUGGCAUGGAUGGAAAAGAUGGCAGCUCUUUGAAAGCAAUGUUAGGUUUAUUCUCUUAGUAAAAGAAGACACUGUCGUGUUUUGUUUGCAUUAUUGUUCGGUAUUUUGUAGUGAAUUUUAAUCAACGGAUAAGACACACUGCAUCUUUGUUUUGUUUUGCUACUCGUGCUUGUGAUUGACAACGGGAAAUUAUGGAAAAUUGUCUCCAUUUGUCGUAA